AGCAGCCGCGGUAAUUCCAGCUCCAAUAGCGUAUAUUAAAGUUGUUGCAGUUAAAAAGCUCGUAGUUGAAUUUCGGGAUCAGUUGGUCGGUCGUGCCUCGGUACGUACUGGUCAAAUUGAUUCCUACCUUCUGACGAACCACGAUGUCAUUAAUUUGGUGUCGCGGGAAAUCAGGACUGUUACUUUGAAAAAUUAGAGUGUUUAAAGCAGGCUCGCGCUUGAAUACAUUAGCAUGGAAUAAUGAAAUAGGACGUUUGAUUCUAUUUUGUUGGUUUCUAGGAUCGACGUAAUGAUUAAUAGGGAUAGUUGGGGGCAUUAGUAUUCAAUUGUCAGAGGUGAAAAUUCUUGGAUUUAUUGAAGACUAACUACUGCGAAAGCAUUUGCCAAGGAUGUUUUCAUUAAUCAAGAACGAAAGUUAGGGGAUCGAAGACGAUCAGAUACCGUCGUAGUCUUAACCAUAAACUAUG
rnacentral:rRNA from 1 species